rnacentral:rRNA from 1 species
GACGAACGCUGGCGGCGUGCCUAAUACAUGCAAGUAGAACGCACAGUUUAUACCGUAGCUUGCUACACCAUAGACUGUGAGUUGCGAACGGGUGAGUAACGCGUAGGUAACCUGCCUGGUAGCGGGUGAUAACUAUUGGAAACGAUAGCUAAUACCGCAUAAUAUUGAUUAUUGCAUGAUAAUUGAUUGAAAGAUGCUAUUGCAUCACUACCAGAUGGACCUGCGUUGUAUUAGCUAGUAGGUGAGGUAACGGCUCACCUAGGCGACGAUACAUAGCCGACCUGAGAGGGUGAUCGGCCACACUGGGACUGAGACACGGCCCAGACUCCUACGGGAGGCAGCAGUAGGGAAUCUUCGGCAAUGGACGAAAGUCUGACCGAGCAACGCCGCGUGAGUGAAGAAGGUUUUCGGAUCGUAAAGCUCUGUUGUAAGAGAAGAACGGGUGUGAGAGUGGAAAGUUCACACUGUGACGGUAUCUUACCAGAAAGGGACGGCUAACUACGUG